UACGUAGGGUGCGAGCGUUAAUCGGAAUUACUGGCGUAAAGGCGUGCGCAGGCGGUUUGCUAAGCCAGGUCGUGAAUACCCGGCCGUUAACCUGGGAAUGGCAUUGGGACUGCAAGGCUGGAGUGCGGCAGAGGAGACUGGAAUUCCUGGUGUAGCAGUGAAAUGCGUAGAUAUCAGGAGGAACACCGAUGGCGAAGGCAGGUCUCUGGGCUGACACUGACGCUGAGGAGCGAAAGCGUGGGGAGCGAACAGGAUUAGA
rnacentral:rRNA from 1 species